rnacentral:rRNA from 1 species
GUGGGGAAUAUUGGACAAUGGGCGCAAGCCUGAUCCAGCCAUGCCGCGUGAGUGAUGAAGGCCUUAGGGUUGUAAAGCUCUUUCAGUGGGGACGAUAAUGACGGUACCCACAGAAGAAGCCCCGGCUAACUUCGUGCCAGCAGCCGCGGUAAUACGAAGGGGGCUAGCGUUGUUCGGAUUUACUGGGCGUAAAGCGCACGUAGGCGGAUCGUUAAGUCGGGGGUGAAAUCCUGGAGCUCAACUCCAGAACUGCCUUCGAUACUGGCGAUCUUGAGGCCGGAAGGGGUGAGUGGAACUCCUAGUGUAGAGGUGGAAUUCGUAGAUAUUAGGAAGAACACCAGUGGCGAAGGCGGCUCACUGGUCCGGUACUGACGCUGAGGUGCGAAAGCGUGGGGAGCAAACAGGAUUAGAAACCCCAGUAGUCC